ACGAAGGGGGCUAGCGUUGUUCGGAAUUACUGGGCGUAAAGCGCAUGCAGGCGGAUCGCUAAGUCAGGGGUGAAAGCCCGAGGCUCAACCUCGGAACUGCCUUUGAUACUGGCGAUCUUGAGUCCGGGAGAGGUGAGUGGAACUCCGAGUGUAGAGGUGAAAUUCGUAGAUAUUCGGAAGAACACCAGUGGCGAAGGCGGCUCACUGGCCCGGUACUGACGCUGAGAUGCGAAAGCGUGGGGAGCAAACAGG
rnacentral:rRNA from 1 species